GAGAGUUCAAGAGGGCGUGAAACCGCUGAGGUGGAAACGGAUAGAGUUGACGAAACUAGGCGACAUUCAACCGGUUGUCUCAGCGGCCCUACGGUUUUGCGCCUCGAUGAGGGCAAAGACGUGGUAAGCUGCCGAGUUCUUGAUUGGUGUAUUUGCCGUCGGUAUGCGCUGAGGGAUUCGCCGUCGUGCGUCAACACAUGCGUAGUGGACCACCCCUUUUGGGCGUGGAACCCUGCACAUGUUGAGGCGUAUUGCCAGUGAAGAUUUUCCUAUCGUCUCCGCCACAGUGCGAUCAUCAUCGCUAGGCUAGCAUAAUCGAAGGCGGUCGCGUGCGACUUGCCUACGGUUGUCGCAAGUCAGCGUUUGAUCUUAUCGCGUUGAGACGUCUACCUCGGUGUGAAAGUUAACCACCUAUCCGACCCGUCUUGAAACACGGACCAAGGAGUCUAGCAUAUGCGCGAGUCAUUGGGUGGAAAACCUAAAAGGCGUAAUGAAAGUAAAGGUUGCCUAGAUGCGGCUGAUAUGGGAUCCGUGAGGUUUUGGCUUCGCGGCGCACCAUAGCCCCGUCCCCGUUGCUUGCAAUAGGGCGGAGGUAGAGCGCAUACGCUGGGACCCGAAAGAUGGUGAACUAUGCCUGAGCAGGAUGAAGCCAGAGGAAACUCUGGUGGAGGUCCGAAGCGGUUCUGACGUGCAAAUCGAUCGUCUGACUUGGGUAUAGGGGCGAAAGACUAAUCGAACCAUC
rnacentral:rRNA from 1 species